rnacentral:tRNA from 1 species
GUCCCUGUAGCUUAAACAAAGCAUGGCACUGAAGAUGCCAAGACGGAUGCCACCACCCCCUCCCA